rnacentral:rRNA from 1 species
AUUGAACGCUGGCGGCAGGCCUAACACAUGCAAGUCGAGCGAGCGCCGGACGGGUGAGUAACGUAUGGGGGACUGCCCGAUAGAGGGGGAUAAAAACAGGAAACGGUAGCUAAUACCGCCUACUCCCGGAGGAACCCACAUGGGAUUAGCUAGUAGGUGUGGUAAUGGCUCACCUAGGCGACGAUCCCUCGCUGGUCUGAGAGGAAGUUCAGCCACACAGGGACUGAGACACGGCCCAGACGCCUACGGGAGGCAGCAGUGGGGAAUAUUGCACAAUGGGCGCAAGCCUGCUGCAGCCAUGCCGCGUGUAUGAAGAAGGCACUAGGGUUGUAAAGUACUUGUGGCAGAGAAGCGGUAUCUACAGAAUAAGCACCGGCUAACUACGUGCCAGCCGCCGCGGUAAUAC